rnacentral:rRNA from 1 species
CCUACGGGUGGCAGCAGUGAGGCAUAUUGGUCAAUGGACGAGAGUCUGAACCAGCCAAGUAGCGUGAAGGAUGACUGCCCUAUGGGUUGUAAACUUCUUUUAUAUGGGAAUAAAAUGUUCCACGUGUGGGAUUUUGUAUGUACAAUAUGAAUAAGGAUCGGCUAACUCAGUGCCAGCAGCCGCGGUAAUACGGUGGGUCCGAGCGUUAUCCGGAUUUAUUGGGUUUAAAGGGAGCGUAGGUGGAUUGUUAAGUCAGUUGUGAAAGUUUGAGGCUCAACCGUAAAAUGGCAGUUGAAACUGGCAGUCUUGAGUACAGUAGAGGUGUGCGGAAUUCGUGGUGUAGCGGUGAAAUGCUUAGAUAUCACGAAGAACUCCGAUUGCGAAGGCAGUUCACUGGACUGCAACUGACACUGAGGCUCGAAAGUGUGGGUAUCAAACAGGAUUAGAUACCCGGGUAGUC